rnacentral:lncRNA from 1 species
UAAAACUGAGGAGCAGCCAGCAGAUGAGGACCAGGGUGUCUAUCCUCUUGGAAGUGCCAGAAGAUUCUGCUUUUUAAAAUUUAAGCUCAAGAAGAUCCUUGGGAUGCUCUUGCAGAAACUCAUGCAAAAGUUUGGAAUGCGUCGCUGGGAGGUGCGUGCCAGGUGCUGAUAAACGGUAUAAAUUCAGCUGCAGCUGAAGAGGGACGAGAUAACCACAUGCUCUGGGACCUCGAAGUCUGUCAUUACCCUUGUGCUUUGCCUCAAUUGCUUUUCCUUCUCUGAUAAACUCCUUGCAGAUAAA